GGUUCCCACACCGACCCGAAUGGGUGCGGUCGCCCCUUGGACCCUUUGUUUCCAAGCGAGAGGUCGGCGGGGGCUAACUCGGGGAGAGCUGUUUUUCUCUGACCCGUGCAAGCCCCCUCUUAUCGGUGCUAUUAGCAGGUUCAACAAAACUAAACAAACAAAACAAAACAAAAGAACCACCUAGCACGAACUAACCGUUUGUGGAGCUUUCUACUCAAAGGGUCAUAAGAGAGCCCAUUUCACAGAGGGGGAAACGGUGCAGAAGAGUCCAGGACUGGCACAAUCCCAGGAAGAGGACACCUAAUACAGUGUUGUCAAGCCCUGUCUCAGGUAGCUCUGGGUCUGGACAUCUGGGCUCACGGAAGAACUCCGGCUCCCCAUCAGUAGACAGAACUCUUAAUCUCUGGUUCUACUUUUCUCAAAAUGGCAUUUGUUGUUGUUGUUGUUGUUCUUUCAAUAGCAUUUUUGUUUUUUAAAGGGUUUUUGGCAAACCUUGGUCACUUUGUUGUACAAAGUUGUUGCCUGUUGACUGGACGCACUUGCCUCUGCUGGGGGUGACACUUUUAUCUACUCCUCUAGGCUGAUGGCACCUCCAUCUCCUUCUGUAAUAGUUUUUCUAUUUCAGGCUCUCUAUCCUCUCCUGGGGAGCCAGGAUUGAGUCUCCCCCACUGCAGCUCGUCACUGGGAAGUUAGGGACCUAGGUUGGACUCCUGCAUACUGUGCCUCGGUCUCCUACUGGACACAGAGGUUGCAGAGGGUUAGAUCAGGCCUGCUCAGAAAGCCUGGUCUGCAGGUGACGGCGCUCACUCACUUUGGGGCCUGUACUGCAUGGCUUCUUACUGAACUUUGCCCUCUCCCACCCCAAUCUCUUCCCACUUAAGGGGGCAUAGGUGAAGCCUAAUGGGACAGAGGGGGCCAUCAGGACUGAGCACAGCAUCCCAGGGAAGGAAUGGGCAAAGGGCAGACAAACACAGGCAGGUCAUGCCCAGUGAAUAACAAGGUGACUUAGGGGGCAAGCUGUCGAGGAAGGGAGGGUGACCGGGGGCCUUUGUGUAAUCCUAAAAACUCAGGAUUUUAUCAGGUGUCUGUAGAAGCCUUAGUUCUCUGGCUCCGUGGUGUAGGAAGGUCACCCUCAGACCUGUGGAGCCCACAGUGGGAUGACUUAGACUCAACUCAGAGCUGAUUAAAGCCCACACUGCUCAAAUGAACAUUCCUGAUGGCACAAGCCAUUUUAACCUCUCUAGAUAACAAUUUGAUUGUGCAUAUUCAAAGCACAUAAUACAGCAUUCCCUACAAAAUUGCUUGCAAUGGACAAGGAUAUUCACUGAAGCAUUGUUUGAAGAGAAUUGGAAAGGACCCAAAAUGUGCUGGGGAAGUAAGUGACGGAGCUGUCACACAAAGGACACAAUGUAGCUGUCGGGAGGGUGUCAGUUAGAGCCAACUGUGCCUGGUGGCACACAGUAGGCACUCAGCAGGCCUGGAGAGACCUCCAGGUGCAAGAAGCAACUUGCACAAUGAUGGUAUAGAGUGGCUCCCCUCUUCCUUUCUGUAAGCGUGGAGCUGAUGCACAAACCCUUGCAAAGUCAGUAACUGCCGAAGUGUUAAAGCUGUAUGCUUGGAAAUGAUGAAGAGAGAGAUUUCACUCUGGACACUGCCAUGGCUGCCUGAGGCUGGAGGAAGUGCUUGGAUCACUCACUGUAAUUGGCACAAGGAACCUUUCAGGAUGAUGGAAAAAAUUUUAAUACUACACCAUAAUGAUGAUCAUACAACCAGUUCACACCACUGAAAAACCACAGAACUGUAUACUUCAGUGAGUUAACUGUGUGCCAGCAAAUUACAUCCUGAGACACUCGCUACAAAAGUUUGAAGCACAAAAUCUAAAAUGUGAUCUAAAAUGUAUCCGACAUGGCUAUUGGUUUUGUUUGUUUGUUUAAGAACUGUAGUCUACAAAGAAUGCUCUAAGAAUAUGCGUAAAGGGAUACUUGCUCCUUAGCCGACUUGGGAAAUGACAAGGAACCUGAGCCAGCAGCUGGGCUGGCCCCUCGGGAGCAGAGCAGCGGGAUCAGCGUGGCCCCAGUUUGUCCAGUUGGUGAUUAACAGAGGACCCAUUAUGGCUUGGCCUCGACCCCUGGGGUCAGUGACCACCAGCCCAGAGUCCCUGGUCCCAGGUUAAUGAUCACAAAGGUGGUGUAGCUUUGCUGGCCAUGUGGCUUUGGAGCCUCUGCCCUCUGGGACCCUGGAGCCUAGAAACCCUCACUCCAGGGCAUCAGUGAAUGGAGACUAGAAGGAGCAACUCUCUCUUCCCUGCCUGGAAGAGGCGUGAGUUCAAGGGAACAAGCGGGCUGAAGUGAAGUGAAGGGGAUGCACCAGUGUUAGGGAAGGCUCUGCCAUAGACCGCCUGGUUGACUGGUCUCCUCUAAGGCCCGUUUCUGGACCCAGCAUUCCCAGAUCCUGGCUGCACCAUCCUGCCCAAAACCUACUUGCUUCUGAGCUUCAAAGUUCCCAUCUGCAAAAUGGGGACACCGGACCAGGUCACUUUGACAGGUCCUUCUGAAUCAGACUACCUAGGACCCCUGAUGUAAGAAGGAGGCUCUGAAAUCAGUAAUAGCAUGUCAGCUCCCCUCGGGAUCCAGUGAGUAGUCAAGCCCUGGCCACUGCCAUACAGGACCCCAAAGCCGGAAACCCCUCAGUAAAGAGCACAGGGCGUGAAGACUCUGGUGGGGUAACCCUGCCAUACUCUGUUCCGUGCGGUAGGAAUUCAGGGGAGCAAGUGGGUACAAGUGCCAAGGAAAGGAAGACGCACCGAUGACAGAGAAACCGAGACUCAGGCCGCCCAUGUGGAAGGAGGCAUUGCUGAAGUUCAAACCCUCAUCUGGGGCUCCUGGGCCCCAGUUCUGUCUGGGAGAGGAAGCAGGGGCCCUGGCCCCAUCUCAGCAGGGAGCAUCGACCCUGUGCAGGAAAUGGGUUGCGGUUGCUAAACCAGUCCAAGCCCAUUCGAGGCCGGCAGAAGUCUCUAGAGUAGCUGGCACUACCACAUCUCCUAGGUCGGGGCAAGAGAAGGUUCCAGAAAAGCCCUCGAGCCCUCCAGAUGCCUGAUGUCAUCACCCAGGAAAACCACAUGUCUAAGAAGACCCCAGACCAUGGCCACCGUGUGGAGAAAGACCGCAGUACCUCCAUUUACUUGGGUCUGGGACGGUUGCUCUGACUUGAAUGUAACUCUGCUGACCAUGGAUUGUGUGGUGUAUGCAUCCUGGUCCCUGCUCUUCACUGCGCCUUAGGGACUGCCUUGAUCGCCCGUCUUGGCUGUUGGUGAGUUCUGCCCAGUGCCCCUACACAUCAGGCAUCCUCUCAGUAUCUGCCACAGGAUCCAGUGGCAUAGCUCACGUCCCUCUGAGACCCCUCCCUCCCUGUGGUUGGAUCUAGGCCCCCAUAACCAUCUCUUGACCCGUUCUUCUCCCUAUGACUAACUUAAAGUCAGUCUCUAGAUCUCUGUGGGCUGCCUAGGGUGACUACCAGAUGAGAAGUCUCACCCUCGCCCUUGGCCACAGUGUACAAAAGGCCUUGGCGGGCUUGGAAGACACCUCCCUGUUCUGUUCCCUCACCCCAAACACUGCCGCUCUUCAUCUCCCAGGCAGCUGGCCAUCACUGGAAGAGCUCCCUCUUUCCCUCCCAGAGCUUGUUUGCUUUUGGCCCAUUGCUGUGCUCUGGUCCCCCUGGGAGCACCCACCCUUCUGGCCUAGGAUUUUGCCAGGAGGGACAAUGAUCAGUAAACAGAGAAGGCAGUUGUGAAACCCAGCGAGAGCAGACAGGACCCGCACAUGUUCCGGCAGGCCCCCACGGACUAGAAGGCACAGGCCUCGGCACCUGCAGUUUCCUCAUUUUUAAAAUGGAACGGAGUUAAAAGUGCCAGUCUCCUGGAAUAACAGGGGACUCCAAGGCCUGACCCACAGCAUCUCCCAAGGGUCCCUGGAUGGCCUGCUUUCUUCUCUCAGAGGCCUGAGCCCAGCGCAUUCACACCUACCGAAUGGCAGCCGCCUGGAGCAGUAGGUGAGCUGUCCUGAGGGGUCCAGUCAAGAGGACUCAUGUUACAGGGGUGCCCAGCCCAGGAGGGUUUAGGCCUCAGGACUCAGAUACAGAAAGAGAAAAGGGAACCCUGGGAAGUAGCUACGUGUGACCUCGGGCCUGCCACUCUUGUUCAGAAGGAACGAUAAAAUGGGUUGCUGUGUAGAUUGAAGCAGAUAACACACUGCUGUGCAUCCCAGCGCUUGGCAUGCUGGGAACGUUGUGGAAACCAAAGUCCUCCUGUUUAGCUGAGGCAGUGAGCUUUCCAUUGUCAACUACCUGAAGCCGAGCAGAGUAGCCCAGAGCCACUGACAGCAGAGAGAGGCUGUGAACGGAUGCACACCCCAGGUGUUCUGCCCGCAUGUAUGGCUCUGCACCAUGUGCAUGUAGUGCCCUUGGAGGCCAGAAGAGGGCACCAGAACAGGCAGAGAGCCUAACUGGUAGCUAAACUGUGGCCUUGCCGGACAGGCUUCAGAGAGCCCCUCGAUUCCCUGCUACUCACCAUUCCCCCAAGGGCUUUUUCCUCAGCCACAGCGGGGCAGGGCAGAGGGAUAAGGCCUCUUGACACAGGCCGGGUAAUCACAAGGGCCUAUAAAUAGACCCUGUGGCUUGGGCGGAACUCGCUAUGCCAGGCCCAGCUCCACAAGCACCAGAGCACAAAUGGGCCAGAAAUGGCUCUUCUCCCUCACACAGUUAACUAAAACUUCUUCAGGAAGCCAUUGUUCACACUCCUUGGAGGAAGAGGAUUUGAGCAAAGAGCCCCACUUGCCUAGUGGGGAUACUGGACCUGGGCCUAGGCUCCUUUUCUGCUUCCUCCUUCCACUGCUUCUGUCUGGGACCCAGUUUCCCAAAAUGUGAACUGGGGAGGUCAGUGUGCUCUCUUGGGCCCUUCCGGCCUGGAUGCUCUUGAUCUGUCUGUGACAGCCUCUGCCUCUCAAAUAUCUGUCUCAUUGUGUCCUGCCCCAAUCAACUUGGAAGUUGUAUUUUAUCAUUAAUUCAGUGCUGGGGCCGAUCCCAGGCAGGUCCUCCAUUGCCUGAGCCACAUCCACGGCCCCUGGGGCACAUUUCAAAUUAAAUUUUACUGUUAUUGUUGUCUAGGAUUUUUGAGGACCUCACCAUCCCAAGUGCUGAGGGCAGAGGAUGAAGAGGCGAACAGGUCCUAACCAGUCCUCUCCUGGCCUGGGUGCGAGAGGCAUUUCCAGUCCCACCCCCCAAACCCUGCUGGGAACAUGGAGUUUCUGGUUCAGACUGCAGCCUGUGACCUGGGCAGGGCCCUAAUCUUACAGUAAAGGCUCCCCAGCCAUCCCAUGUACACACAUGUGCUACAGACCUUCCUCCCCAGUUCACUCCCGUCACCAUCCAAGCCCUACUUCGUGGAUGCAGAAAACGAGGCUGAGAGGGACUGGAGAGUGGGAGAGACCCGGGCUCAGACUCUCUCACCUCGGGAGCCCAGGGCUGCAGUGGUCUGACUCAAUUCAGCCUACUGGACAGUGGGAACAGAAUCGGACAAGAGCAAAGAAUGCAGAGAGACGGGCAGGUUAUUCCUGUGUGUCUGUCUGUCUGUCUGUGUGUGUCCUGGAGUGGCAGGGCUUCACUGGUAACACACAUUCUCCCCUAUGGGAUUCCAGCAUUGCCCUCUCUGACCCGCCCUCCUCUUUGCCUGCCACCAAUUGAUUGCUCUGAAAUCCCGUCAAUCAAGUCACUCCUCUUCUCAACAGCAUUCCAGAUCUCUCCAGACCUGACUCACUUGUCGGCAGGGACACAGGGCUCCUCCAGGUGACCAGCCCUUUGCACAUAAUCCUCUUGCCUGGAACACUCAACUCCCCAUCCCAGCCCAGCAUUCAUCUCAUGGGCAGGAAAAGCUGACUGGUCCCAUGGGCAUCUUGGAAAGUGUCUGGGUAUCGGCCACCAUUGCCCCUCAGGGAUUACAGUGGCUCUCCUCUUGCAGGAUGGUACAGUUCACCACCCAUCCCAGUGCAAGAGUCAGCAAGGGUUGGCUGGGGAACGGGCACGGGUCGGGGUAGGUGGCGGCAAAGAGCCAAAAGAAUCCUGGGCAAGCGCACAUUUCCCAGGACUUCUCAAUAUCAGGGGGCACUACAGUGAGGAAAACCCUGAAACAACACCAUGCAGGGUCUUAAGAUGUGUGUGCGUGUGUAUCAUGGUUCCACUAAUGAAGUUCUCCAAGUCUCCCACUAGGAAGCUCCUAACAGUCUCCAGUAGCCUGGAGUGAAAUCCAUGGUGGAGGUCAGCAUGGCCUGGAGGCUCCUGGUCCCUUGCCUGGCCAUUCCCCCCUCCCUCUGAGGGAUGCCCUCCCUUCCUAGCUCACCCUGCCAUCCAGCACUCCCCCCCAGCUGUUCCCUUACCCCAUCAGAUCCUCCUCAGGUGAAGAAAAACGAAGCCAUGGCAGGCAUAACCAUCUCCACAAGACCCAGGAGGUACGGAAAGGUUUUAUUCUUUGCUCCUUCUCCAACCCCCAGCUCCCAGCCUAGACAUCUGUCACACGAUUCUGUGAAUGAAUGGAUUCCAGAAUCUGCUGAACAUUUAAGUUCAGAAAAACAAAGCCCUGUGCAUAGUCAGAAAGGGUGGGGUGGGGCAGCUUGGGAAACACGGCUCAGCCUUCCAGUGGCAAGGGAGAGAAUGUUCCAGAUGGAGAAGGAAUCAAUGUGCCAGAGACUUGGGACAAGGACAUCUGAGGAUCUGACAGGAGGGCACCAAGUCACCCUCCUUACCUGCUUACACCCAAGUUCAUGGAGGUGAGCGUGAGGCGAGUACAGUCCAGGGGAUGAAGGAGCUGCAAGGGUGAACAGGCAGGCUCCUGAGACAUUCAGCCAGGCCCGAGCAGGUCUGGCUGUGGCCCUGUGGUGGUUUCCGAAGCUGGGCAGGCAGGCAGAAUGCAAGGGCCUGGGGACAUGGCUCACAAAAGCAUUCACAGAAAGGGACACCCCUGCCUCUGGACUGUCAGAAGCAGGCACCCCAGAAGCCAGGUGUGAUCCUUCAGUGGCAGCUGAGGCGAGGCCAGGCCUCUGGGUCUAGAGAACCUUCUAGAAACCCCUGGCUCCAAGGACUAAGUACCUUGAUGACCACCAAUGGCCCUCUCAUCUAGACUUAAGAGGGACAGAGCCAUGGUCAGCUCCUGUCACCGCCUGGCAGCUGGGCGCAGUGGAGCAUUGGAAAAUACAGGCACUCACUUCCUGCUUCUUUUGGCAAGCAACAGUGAUACCAUGGGCUGGCCAUUGAUGCCAUGGGCUGGAGGGCACUUUCCUUUCUCCUCACACAAUUAGAAGUUCUCUUUUGUUCAGGUCGAAACGCUCUCACAGUGACCCCCAUGGCUUUUCAGCUCACAAAGGCAUCUGCAGGCCUGUCUGAUCCCCAAGACCACCUUGUCAGACAAGGAGGGACUGAAUGUACCGCCUUACAGGAGGAAAAGCCCAGGGCCCGCUUGGGAGGGAAUCUGCGUCUCCUGGCUUGUAGCCCAGCACUCUGCAUUCCGCCCAGCGCCCAGCCUCCCAGUGCCCUGCACUUCAGGCUCGCCUGGGAACCUGAUAGGUGGGCCCGCCCACCCAGCCAGCCAGGGAGAGUUCCUACCUCGCCUCCUCACGGAACCCACCCCGCCAUAGCGCUCCCAGGAGGCUUGAGCACAGCAAGCAAGAAGCCCCGCCAGGGUGAGAGCAGGCAUCAGGGUGCUCAGCCCGCCUCACCCCUCCCCUCAGGACCGCCCUCAUCCCUGCCCUCAUCCCUGCCCUCACCUGCCUUUCCCUUGGUGAGGAGCAGAUGAGGUAAUGAAUAAACAGUAUGUCCACAAAGGGAAAAACUUUUAAUCCACAAAGGCUGUUCAGCUGCUCGCACUCUGGAAUCAUCUAGACUCCCCAGGACACUAGGUGGUCAGUGGCUCUGUGUUGUU